CCUACGGGGUGCACCAGUAGGGAAUAUUGGGCAAUGGACGAGAGUCUGACCCAGCCAUGCCGCGUGCAGGAAGAAGGCUUUCUGAGUCGUAAACUGCUUUUGACAGGGAAGAAUAAGCUGCUCGUGAGCAGUGAUGACGGUACCUGCAGAAUAAGCACCGGCUAACUCCGUGCCAGCAGCCGCGGUAAUACGGAGGGUGCGAGCGUUGUCCGGAUUUAUUGGGUUUAAAGGGUGCGUAGGCGGCCUUAUAAGUCCGGGGUGAAAGCCCGUUGCUCAACAACGGAACUGCCCUGGAUACUGUGAGGCUUGAGUACAGACGAGGUUGGCGGAAUGGACCGAGUAGCGGUGAAAUGCAUAGAUACGGUCCAGAACCCCGAUUGCGAAGGCAGCUGACUAGGCUGAUACUGACGCUGAGGCACGACAGCGUGGGGAGCGAACAGGAUUAGAUACCCGUGUAGUC
rnacentral:rRNA from 1 species